rnacentral:lncRNA from 1 species
AGGAUGCCAGAAGAGAGCGUGGCCUCACGUGUACCAGCUCUCUGCUCUCCUUUGCCUUGGGACGUUCCAUCCCUGGAAGUUUCCCUGCCCACAUCUUUGUAGAGAGUCCAUUCUCCAAGCUUCAGUGUGUCAUCUGUGAGGACCGUGACCCACCUGGUACAUCGCCUCAGGGCAUUCAUUUCAGGCUCCUUCUAAAUGGCCAAGAUCUUGCUUUCUUUUGUAUGUUUGCAAAGAAUAUAUAGUACACUUCCUUGAUCUGUGGUUCCUAAAGUGUGAUUCCCAACAAGCAGCAUCAGGAUCAUCUGGAAACUUGAUAGAAAUGUAAAUUCUACAGUCCCUCCUUGGAGCUACAGAUUCAGAAAUUCUGAAGUUUAAGUCCAGCAGUUGGUUAUAAUAAGCUCUCUAGGUGAUUCUGACUUGCACCAAGGCACCCUUGGAAAUGCAAUGCUACAUCUCAAUGGGAUUUUCCAGUACAAAGAUUCUUUUCAAAUAACAUAAUUGUGGAUACACACCACUCCUACAGUGCUGCACUGAUGAGGAAACUGAAACAGAAAAUCCAGAGUAAAUUCCACCAGGCCACACAGCAAGGUCUGAUAGAGCCAGGAGAGACUUUAUGAAAUCCAGACUCUCACACUAAUGCUCUAUCAGCUAGACCUCCAUGUGAGUCUCCCCAAUGUAGGUAGGAAGUGC